rnacentral:rRNA from 1 species
CAGGACGAACGCUGGCGGCGUGCCUAAUACAUGCAAGUCGAACGGUCUUUCUAUGGAAGCUUGCUUCCACUGAGAAGAUAGUGGCGAACGGGUGAGUAACACGUGGGUAACCUGCCCAUAAGAGGGGGAUAACAUCCGGAAACGGGUGCUAAUACCGCAUAGUUUUCUUGAUCGCAUGAUUGAGAAAGGAAAGACGGCCUUUGUGCUGUCGCUUAUGGAUGGACCCGCGGCGUAUUAGUUAGUUGGUGAGGUAACGGCUCACCAAGACGAUGAUACGUAGCCGACCUGAGAGGGUGAUCGGCCACAUUGGGACUGAGACACGGCCCAAACUCCUACGGGAGGCAGCAGCUAAGAAUCUUCCGCAAUGGGCGAAAGCCUGACGGAGCGAACCGCCGCGUGAACGAAGAAGGCCGUGAGGUUGUAAAGUUCUUUUCGGGAGGGGGAACAACCGUGGCAGGGAAUGGCCGCGGGAUGACGUGAAUCCCGGAAUAAGCCCCGGCUAACUACGUGCCAGCCGCCGC